CCUACGAGUGGCAGCAGUGAGGAAUAUUGGUCAAUGGGCGGAAGCCUGAACCAGCCAAGUAGCGUGCAGGAUGACGGCCCUACGGGUUGUAAACUGCGUUUAUACGGGAAUAACGCGCCUUACGUGUAGGGCUUUGCAUGUACCGUCUGAAUAAGGACCGGCGAAUUCCGUGCCAGGAGCCGCGGUAAUACGGAAGGUCCGGGCGUUAUCCGGAUUUAGUGGGGUUAAAGGGAGCGUAGGCCGCAUUUCAAUCGUGCUGUGAAAUGUCCGGGCUCAACCCGGGCCUUGCAGCGCGAACUGGCGUGCUUGAGUCCGCGGAAAGCAGGCGGAAUUCGUCGUGUAGCGGUGAAAUGCUUAGAUAUGACGAAGAACCCCGAUUGCGAAGGCAGCUUGCUGCAGCGGAACUGACGCUGAUGCUCGAAAGCGCGGGUAUCGAACAGGAUUAGAUACCCGUGUAGUC
rnacentral:rRNA from 1 species